rnacentral:rRNA from 1 species
UGGGGAAUUUUGGACAAUGGGCGCAAGCCUGAUCCAGCAAUGCCGCGUGAGUGAAGAAGGCCUUCGGGUUGUAAAGCUCUUUUGUCAGGGAAGAAACGGUGGAGGUUAAUACCUUCCACUAAUGACGGUACCUGAAGAAUAAGCACCGGCUAACUACGUGCCAGCAGCCGCGGUAAUACGUAGGGUGCAAGCGUUAAUCGGAAUUACUGGGCGUAAAGCGUGCGCAGGCGGUUUUGUAAGUCUGUCGUGAAAUCCCCGGGCUCAACCUGGGAAUUGCGAUGGAGACUGCAAGGCUAGAAUCUGGCAGAGGGGGGUAGAAUUCCACGUGUAGCAGUGAAAUGCGUAGAGACGUGGAGGAACACCGAUGGCGAAGGCAGCCCCCUGGGUCAGAUUGACGCUCGUGCACGAAAGCGUGGGGAGCAAACAGGAUUAGAUACCCUGGUAGUCCACGCCCUAAACGAUGUCUACUAGUUGUCGGGUUUUAAUUAACUUGGUAACGCAGCUAACGCG